GGAAUUGACGGGGACCCGCACAAGCAGCGGAGCGUGUGGUUUAAUUCGUUGCUACACGAAGAACCUUACCUGGGUUUGACAUAUAGGUUGUAGGGAACUGAAAGGGACCGACCCUUCGGGGAGCCUAUACAGGUGUUGCAUGGCUGUCGUCAGCUCGUGUCGUGAGAUGUUCGGUUAAGUCCGCUAACGAGCGCAACCCUCGUCGUAUGUUAUAUGUGUCAUACGAGACUGCCGGUAAAAGCCGGAGGAAGGUGAGGAUGAUGUCAAGUCAGCAUGACCUUUAUAUCCAGGGCUACACACACGCUACAAUGGUCUGUACAAUGGGUAGCCAAGCCGCGAGGCGGAGCCAAUCCUGAAAGCAGGCCUCAGUUCAGAUUGCAGUCUGCAACUCGACUGCAUGAAGCCGGAGUUGCUAGUAACCGCAGGUCAGCAAUACUGCGGUGAAUACGUUCCCGGGUCUU
rnacentral:rRNA from 1 species